AACGAACGCUGGCGGCAUGCCUAACACAUGCAAGUCGAACGAGACCUUCGGGUCUAGUGGCGCACGGGUGCGUAACGCGUGGGAAUCUGCCCUUGGGUUCGGAAUAACAGUUAGAAAUGACUGCUAAUACCGGAUGAUGUCUUCGGACCAAAGAUUUAUCGCCCAGGGAUGAGCCCGCGUAGGAUUAGCUAGUUGGUGGGGUAAAGGCCUACCAAGGCGACGAUCCUUAGCUGGUCUGAGAGGAUGAUCAGCCACACUGGGACUGAGACACGGCCCAGACUCCUACGGGAGGCAGCAGUGGGGAAUAUUGGACAAUGGGCGAAAGCCUGAUCCAGCAAUGCCGCGUGAGUGAUGAAGGCCUUAGGGUUGUAAAGCUCUUUUACCCGGGAUGAUAAUGACAGUACCGGGAGAAUAAGCCCCGGCUAACUCCGUGCCAGCAGCCGCGGUAAU
rnacentral:rRNA from 1 species